rnacentral:rRNA from 1 species
AUUGAACGCUGGCGGCAGGCCUAACACAUGCAAGUCGAACGAGUGGCGGACGGGUGAGUAAUGUAUGGGAAACUUCCUGAUGGAGGGGGAUAACUACUGGACACGGUAGCUAAUACCGCACACCAUCAGAUGUGCCCAGAUGGGAUUAGCGUGUUGGUGGGGUAACGGCGCACCAAGGCGACGAUCCCGAGCUGGUCUGAGAGGAUGACCAGGCACACUGGAACGGAGAACCGGUCCAGACUCCUACGUGAGGCAGCAGUGGGGAAUAUUGGACAAUGGGCGAAAGCCUGAUGCAGCCAUGCCGCGUGUAUGAAGAAGGCCUUCGGGUUGUAAAGUACUUUCAGCGGGGAGGCGUUACCAGCAGAAGAAGCACCGGCUAACUCCGUGCCAGCAGCCGCGGUAAUAC